rnacentral:rRNA from 1 species
UACGAAGGGGGCUAGCGUUGCUCGGAUUGACUGGGCGUAAAGGGCGCGUAGGCGGUUCGUACAGUCAGACGUGAAAUUCCUGGGCUCAACCUGGGGGCUGCGUUUGAUACGUGCGGACUUGAGUGCGGAAGAGGGUCGUGGAAUUCCCAGUGUAGAGGUGAAAUUCGUAGAUAUUGGGAAGAACACCGGUGGCGAAGGCGGCGACCUGGUCCGAUACUGACGCUGAGGUGCGAAAGCGUGGGGAGC